rnacentral:rRNA from 1 species
GAUGAACGCUGGCGGCGUGCCUAAUACAUGCAAGUCGAGCGAACAGAUAAGGAGCUUGCUCCUUUGAAGUUAGCGGCGGACGGGUGAGUAACACGUGGGUAACCUACCUAUAAGACUGGGAUAACUUCGGGAAACCGGAGCUAAUACCGGAUAACAUUUAGAACCGCAUGGUUCUAAAGUGAAAGAUGGUUUUGCUAUCACUUAUAGAUGGACCCGCGCCGUAUUAGCUAGUUGGUAAGGUAACGGCUUACCAAGGCGACGAUACGUAGCCGACCUGAGAGGGUGAUCGGCCACACUGGAACUGAGACACGGUCCAGACUCCUACGGGAGGCAGCAGUAGGGAAUCUUCCGCAAUGGGCGAAAGCCUGACGGAGCAACGCCGCGUGAGUGAUGAAGGGUUUCGGCUCGUAAAACUCUGUUAUUAGGGAAGAACAAAUGUGUAAGUAACUGUGCACAUCUUGACGGUACCUAAUCAGAAAGCCACGGCUAACUACGUGCCAGCAGCCGCGGUA